GAUGAAGAACGUAGCGAAAUGCGAUAAGUAAUGUGAAUUGCAGAAUUCAGUGAACCAUCGAAUCUUUGAACGCACAUUGCGCCCCCUGGCAUCCCGGGGGGCACGCCUGUCCGAGCGUCAUGCGACCCCGUCGGGCGCCCCCACUCCGUUGCUGGAGGGCGGGUGCGCCCGGAGUUGGGCCCCGUGGCCCGCCCCAAGCCGGGCGGCUCGCGGGCCCGAAAGGUAUCGGCGGUGACGGCCUCCCCGAUCGAGCGACCGAGGUAAACUUCUACCGCAGCUCAUACGAUUGGGGCAAGGAGGUCUGUCGGUCCCGCGCAAGACCACACCACAACGUUUGACCUCGGAUCAGGCGGGGAUACCCGCUGAACUUAAGCAUAUCAAUAAGCGGAGGA
rnacentral:misc_RNA from 1 species